CGCAUCUGUGCAUGCAGCAUAUCAAUAAGCGGAGGAAAAGAAACUAACAAGGAUUCCCCUAGUAACGGCGAGUGAAGCGGGAAGAGCUCAAAUUUGAAAUCUUAAAGGGUUUCCCUUUACGAAUUGUAGUUUAAAGAAGUGUCUUCUGUUGAGGUUUUGGUAAAAGUUCUUUGGAAUAGGACAUCAUAGAGGGUGAGAAUCCCGUAUUUGACCAUUACUUUUCAACUUUGUGAUACACUUUCAAAGAGUCGGAUUGUUUGGGAAUGCAGUCCAAAAUGGGUGGUAAAUUUCAUCUAAAGCUAAAUAUUGGCGAGAGACCGAUAGCGAACAAGUACCGUGAGGGAAAGACUGAAAAGAACUUUGAAAAGAGAGUUAAACAGUACGUGAAAUUGUCAAAAGGGAAGCGUUUGACACCAGUGUUGUUUUUCUGAAAAUCAAUUAAAGAACUGUUUAUGCUAAGCUGUUUAGACUUUAUCAGCUAUCUGUUUAGUUUUGAGCUUUUCUUUAAUGCACUUUUCAGUUAACAAGUCAACAUCAAUUUCUUUUGCUGUAAAAAAGCUUGAGGAAGGUGGCUUGAGAUUCGUCUUAAGUGUUUAUAGCCUCUUGCCUAUGCAGUCGGAGAGAUUGAGGUCUGCAGCGUAGAUCCUUCGGGGCUAAAUGCAUUUGUGCUAAGUUAUAGGCAUUUUAUAGACAACUUGUUGACUAUGAUUUGUCUUGUAGCUUACUCGCUUAUGUUAUUUUACCUACGCUUAGGAUGUUGAAUCUGUGCGAGACUAC
rnacentral:rRNA from 1 species